rnacentral:tRNA from 1 species
GUGGGCCGUAGCGCAGAGGUAGUCGCGCCUUUCUGUCAGUGAGGAGGACGCCGGUUCGAAUCCGGUCGGCCCACACC